GACGAACGCUGGCGGCGUGCUUAACACAUGCAAGUCGAACGGAAAGGCCCUGCUUUUGUGGGGUGCUCGAGUGGCGAACGGGUGAGUAACACGUGAGUAACCUGCCCUUGACUUUGGGAUAACUUCAGGAAACUGGGGCUAAUACCGGAUAGGAGCUCCUGCUGCAUGGUGGGGGUUGGAAAGUUUCGGCGGUUGGGGAUGGACUCGCGGCUUAUCAGCUUGUUGGUGGGGUAGUGGCUUACCAAGGCUUUGACGGGUAGCCGGCCUGAGAGGGUGACCGGCCACAUUGGGACUGAGAUACGGCCCAGACUCCUACGGGAGGCAGCAGUGGGGAAUAUUGCACAAUGGGCGGAAGCCUGAUGCAGCAACGCCGCGUGCGGGAUGACGGCCUUCGGGUAGUAAACCGCUUUCGCCUGUGACGAAGCGUGAGUGACGGUAAUGGGUAAAGAAGCACCGGCUAACUACGUG
rnacentral:rRNA from 1 species